rnacentral:lncRNA from 1 species
AGCAGUUUGUAAAAUCCCAACAUGCAAUAAAUUCCAUUCUACAGCCAAGAGCGCAAUUUCUUAUUCUUCUGCGGGCGUUCACUUGUUGGACGUCACAGUAUUGAAGAUGACAUUAAUGUGAAGAUUAUGUAGCCAAAAUCAGCUUGCAUUGUUUCUACUUGGACAAGAUCCCCUGGAGAAAUUGAACUUUAAGGAAGCAAGAUUACUGAAUUUGGGAAUCGACCACUGAAGCAUCCUCAUGUCCAAAUUUCGUUUUACCGUUUCUCAAAAGCUUCUUUCUGCAGAGCGUUUACUUGAACAUCGGGAUGGGGUGUUCAGAUAGUAACAAACUCACACAUUCUAGGAAGGUGGCAACAAGCCUGCUCCUUUUAGGGUUGAGGACCGUCACAGACGGCCGAUGGUCCAAUGAGGACUAACAUCAAGGUGCAACUCACAAAUAUGUGACACUAACAUUUGUAUCCUGUCUUCUAAGAACAUGAGGAUUUGUAGAGGUGAGUAAUUCACAUAGGGUUACCAGAGUUUUGCACGUUCAAAGGUGUUACACUAAUAAAUAAAUUAAAAUAAAAAAACUCGAGAUGCAUUGGGUUGAUUUCUCUCCAGAUAAUUUAUUAGGAUCAUCUUCAAUUGUCGACCUCGAGGUGUUCGGUGUUAAACGGAAUGCAGUUGCUUAUCUAAAUAUGAUGUUACUAGCAGGACGACUAAUCUGCAACUCGAGAAACUACACAACCAUCGGAAUCAAGGGAAACUUGAGAUUAUUUAUCUGGAAUCAGUACGAUACGCGCUCAUUUGAGGAUGAGGUUACGGAAAUAAGUUUCCUUCAUUUUUUUGCGUUUGAUACUUCUGAAAUGUGAUGUGUGCUGGCUGCCUUUGAAUCGGGGUGGUCGAAGUAUUUUUCUUUUAAGAAGUCGACUCACAGCGAUUUUGGAACAUCAUCAUCCCCAUGAGACGCUUGCAACCCUGGAGAGCCUUGCAAUUCUUUGGUAGUCGUUUCAAGGUGUUUUAAUACUCGACAAAAUUUUCCACGUGCGCCGUUGCUCGUAAGCAUCAAUACUUGGUUGAAAACAGCGUGAUGGUGAUAUAUUCUGCACUUUUUGCAAGGAACACAAGCAGGAUUCCGACCUCGUGAACUACUUUGAUGUGCUGCAAUUCCAAGUAAAUUCUACAAUAGAUUAGUGGCCAUCAUCUGAUAGUCGAUGAGCACGGACAUGUAUACAAGCAUACGGUUCUUCAGUACUGCAUAGGGUUCAACCA